rnacentral:rRNA from 1 species
UACGUAGGGUGCAAGCGUUAAUCGGAAUUACUGGGCGUAAAGCGUGCGCAGGCGGUUAUGUAAGACAGUUGUGAAAUCCCCCGGGCUCAACCUGGGAACUGCAUCUGUGACUGCAUAGCUAGAGUACGGUAGAGGGGGAUGGAAUUCCGCGUGUAGCAGUGAAAAUGCGUAGAGAUGUGGAGGAAUACCGAUGGCGAAGGCAGCCCCCUGGGCCAAUACUGACGCUCAUGCACGAAAAGCGUGGGGAGCAAACAGG